CGCUGUGGCUUAGUGGUUUCAGUGCUGGACUACAACUCUGGAGACCAGGGUUCAAUUCCCAACUUAGCCA